rnacentral:rRNA from 1 species
UACGUAGGUGGCAAGCGUUGUCCGGAAUUAUUGGGCGUAAAGCGCGCGCAGGCGGUCCUUUAAGUCUGAUGUGAAAGCCCACGGCUCAACCGUGGAGGGUCAUUGGAAACUGGGGGACUUGAGUGCAGAAGAGGAAAGUGGAAUUCCAGGUGUAGCGGUGAAAUGCGUAGAGAUUUGGAGGAACACCAGUGGCGAAGGCGACUUUCUGGUCUGUAACUGACGCUGAGGCGCGAAAGCGUGGGGAGCAAACAGG